GACAGAGGAUGCAAGCGUUAUCCGGAAUGAUUGGGCGUAAAGCGUCUGUAGGUGGCUUUUUAAGUCUGCCGUCAAAUCCCAGGGCUUAACCCUGGACAGGCGGUGGAAACUACCAAGCUGGAGUACGGUAGGGGCAGAGGGAAUUUCCGGUGGAGCGGUGAAAUGCGUAGAUAUCGAGAGGAACACCUGCGGCGAAGGCGGGUAGCUGGGCCGACACUGACGCUGAUGCGCGAAAGCCAGGGGAGCGAACGGG
rnacentral:rRNA from 1 species